UGGCAGCACUGUGUCGGGGGCCCGCUGUCAGUGACAGCAGGGCAACCAAGAGAGAAGGCAGGGACAGUUCCCAGGUGUCCCUGCCUUCUAGAUCGCUGCAUACACAACGCUCAAUGAGCACUGUGUAUGCAGACCAGGAAGCGGUC